AGACAGGGUCUUGAUAUGUCACUUAGGCUGGUCUUGAACUCCUGGGCUCAAGUGAUUCUCCUGCCUUGGCCUCCCAAAGCGCUGGAAUUGACCUAACCACCAACGGCAUGCACAGGAAAACAAACAAGGAGCGUCUUUUGGUCAGCCUAGGGAAGGAAGAAAGUGAGAAAACAAAACAAAACACAAAAAUCAGUCAAGCUCAACUCACUGUAAUGUUGUGGUGAAGGCUGCCAUGUUGAACUCAGGAAUCCGCUGCAGCAGCUGUUCUUCAAUGUAUUUUUCUACCAAAGAAAUCUGCAACAGUGGAAAGGAUUUUGGUGAGACCAUACUUUGGGAAAACAAGACUUCUUUUCAGAAAGCCUGCCCAGCCCUUUCUAAACAUUUCCUGAGGUCUGUGUGCCACAAUCUACACUGAGUGCCAAGGAUACCAAAGAGGACCAAAACACAGCUCCUGUCCUGGAGAAGUACUCAGCCUGGUGUGGAAGAGAAGCCUUAGCUGAUAAUGGUGCUGUAACAGGGUGGAUGCUCUGACACAGGUGGAGACAGUGAGUAGCACGGUACCCACACCCACAACCCAGUGCAGGAUGCAGUAAGUGGGGGCUUUGCCUCCUGGGUAGAGGGCAUCUGUGUAACAGAACAUACGGACAUGGAGGCAGUCACAGGUUCCUUCUGGGCAGGUUUGUUUAUGCCAUGCUUCUGUGUUAAGAAAAUAAAGUCCUGGAGGCCAAAAUGGAUUCUUAGAUGACAGAAUCCCAGGGGGCUGUUAAGAGGCCUCAGGGUAAAGUGUAGAGACCCAAGGGUGACGAGCUGAGGUUCCUGGGUUCCAGUCUUGGUUUUUCCACCAAAUAGUUAGUGAUCUUGGUCUCAGUUUUCACUUUUACUUAAUAGUCAUGCAUAUAUGACUGGAUUAUAUAGAAGAAAGAAAGAGUAUGUGAAAGCAGAAAGGUUUGUCAAAAGCAUGCAAAUGCAAGGUAUGAAGAACUCAUGUACUGUGAUUAAAAGCAGGAUUAUGAUAAGCCAAACGUCUUUUAUUUAUUAUCUUUAUUAUUAUCAUUUUUUUUUUAGAGACAGAGAUCUUGCUGUGUUGCCCAGGCUGGUCUCAAACUCCUAAGCUCAAGUGAUUCUUCCACCUCAACCUCCCAAAUAGCUGGCACUACAGGUGUGCUACCAAGCCCAGGUCAAACUUCUUUUAAAUAAGAAGCUGAUGAGUUAAUCAAAUAUUUGCCUGAAAGCCUUUUGGAAAAUAGCCCCAAAGGCUGUGCAGAGGAAAAUGAACUUAAACCAGAUGCUAAUGAGGAUUCCUGGAAGUGUACUGGUGGCAUAUUUUAAAAGGCAGCAAAUUUCAAUGUCUUUUGAAUCUAAAUUUAAAUUUUUAAAAACUCUGACCUCCUGGUAGGAGACAUAGAAAUCUACUUACGUAUUCAUUAAAAAUAGGUGUGUAGAUGAGUUUAUUCUCUUCUGUGUCUUCAAACUCCAGGUAGUACUUGUCCAUGAAAUUUCUCUGUAAUAACUGGAACUCGUCAUCUGAACCACAGUGGGGAAAAUUUAUUCUUUUUAAUGGAGAUUACCAACCAUUAUGAUUUAUAAGUAGGCAGGAUCUAUGUCAGCAGUACUGCUUUCUCAAUGAUCAGUCUCUGGAAGGAAAGCUGAUGUUUUAAGGGGGUAUUAAAUGGGACCCUGAUGUGGAAAUAGCCCAAUCCUCCUGUUUUCUUUUUCUUUCUUUCUUUUUUUUUUUUUUUUUUUUUUUUUGAGCUGGAGUUUCUCUUGUUGCCCAGGCUGGAGUGCAAUGGUGCGAUCUCGGUUCACUGCAACCUCCACCUCCAGGGUUCAAAAGAUUCUACUGCCUUAGCCUCCUGAGUAGCUGGGAUUACAGGUGUGUGCCACCUCGCCAGCCUAAUUUUGUAUUUUUAGUAGAGACAGGGUUUCAUCAUGUUGGCUAGGCUGAUCUCGAACUCCCGACCUCAGGUGAUCUGCCUGCCUCCGCCUCCCAAAGUGCUGGGAUUACAGGUGUGAGCCACCGCACCCAGCCCUGUUUUCUUUUUAAAUUGUGGUGAGAUAUACAAUUUUUUUUUAUCAUUUUAAUGUUUAAGCACACAGCUCAGUGGCUUUAAGUAUGUUUACAUUGUUGUGCAAUGAUCACCACCAUCCUUCAGUCCAUUUUAACCAUAUCCACACAGGGUGGCUUGGGAACUCCCUGACAUUACUUUUCUGAAAAGGAAUGAAUUGGUUCUCUCUUAUUUUGAUAUAACUUCCACAGCAGUUGUGGAAACAGUGUAGUGAUUAAAAUUAUGGGGUCUGAAAGAGGCUAGCCCGUCUGGGUUCGAAUCGCAUCUCAGCUACUUACUAAUUGUGUGACCUUGGGUAAGUUACUUAAUUUCUCUAACCCCCAUAUAAACACAUUUAUCUGGAAAAUAAGAAUGGUUUAUGGUAGUUAUCAUAUAGGAUUGGAAGUGGAAUUUAGAUGAGAAUUCAUGUAAAUAGAUUAGUUCAUAGUGAACACUUAAUAAAUGAUAGGGAAUAGGGAAUUUUUUUUUUUUAAUUGAGACAGGGUUCUCCCUAUGGUGCCUAGGCUGGUCUCGAACUCCUAGACUCAAGCAAUCCACCUGCGCUGGCCUCCCAAAGUGUUGGGGUUAUAGGUGUGAGCCACCGUACCCAUCCCGGAAUAAGGAAUUUUAACAACUGAAUAGAUUAUUUCUAAAAAUAAAAGGAAAGUUUCAGAAAGGACCCAGACUUUGGGAUAAAUACCGUAGGCUCACAGAAGGCUCAUUUUCCCAUAGCAUAUAGGGUAUAAUAGGCAAGAGAACUGAAUGGAUUCUUCAGUAUUCCCCAGAAAUCCCCAAGUCCACAUGGGAAACGAGCUUAAUGAUGAAACAUCUAUAUUCAGGAGUUAAGGGCAUGAACCUUUAUACCUGAAGGUAUAAAAACUUGGUCAGUAAUUUUCAUUCUAAAUGGAUUAAGCCAUACAGCCAAUAACACCAAAUAACAGUGUUCUUUUCUCAAUUCUCAUAAAACUUAAAGUCAACAGAAUUUUCUCAAAUGUAAGUUUUCCCCUCCUACAUACUUGUCUUAAACCUCUGGGGACUGUUACUGCUUCUCUGUUACUUAGCAGGUUUCAUGGAUGCCCAAAUACAUCCACAAGUAGGAACUCAAAACCUAGGAAAAUACAGAACCAGCUGAAGCUUAAUACCUUGUUUUCUUUAUGGCCAUGUGUGCUUAUGGUUAUGGUUUUAUGUGUUUAUUUUCAUUUUUAUUUUUUCCAGACGGAGUCUCGCUCUGUCGCCCAGGCUGGAGUGAAGUGGCACGAUCUCGGAUCACUGCAAGCUCCACCUCCCAGGUUCACGCCAUUUUCCUGCCUCAGCCUCCUGAGUAGCUGGGACUACAGGCGCCCGCUACCACGCCCGGCUAAUUUUUUUUGUAUUUUUAGUAGAGACAGGGUUUCACCGUGUUAGCCAGGAUGGUCUUGAUCUCCUGACCUCGUGAUCCGCCCACCUCGGCCUCCCAAAGUGCUGGGAUUACAGGCGUUAGCCACCGCACCUGGCCUGGUUUUAUGUGUUUUAUGGCAUGAAAAUGUUAAAACUCAAAACUAUCUAAAAUUGAAAUUGCUCUUACCCUACAUAAGAAAUAGAGUAGAUCAUUAUUUCCUAUAGUUUUGCGAAGAACGCCACACUGCUGGUGCCCUAUUAGCCUGAGUCAGUCCCUUCCAGCCUCUGAAUCUAUGCUUAUUAGAUGUUUUCAGGAGUACUGGGCUGUUUGUUUCUAAGACAAACUGCAGUAAGCCUUUACUUAAGUAUUACAUUGUGCUACAUUAAAAAUUGCAGGCAGCUUGAUGUUUUCUCUUUUUAAAAUUAACUCUCCAAAUUGAUUUCAAUGUCCUUAAAGAAACAAGCAAGUCCUUAAAAACAGUAUCUUAAAAGCUUACCCAUGAUAAUGUCCUCUAAAUAUCCAACCACAGCAUCAAAUUCUGCAUCAGAGGCGGAGGAGCUGAAAAACAUGCCUGGAUUAGGUGCUAUUUCAAAUAAUGCAUUAAAAAAAUGUUUUUAGUAUGGACGUUUUCAAACAUGCACAAGAGAAAAAAGAGUAGCAAAACGAACUUCCCAUCACCCAUCUUCAACGAUUAAGAAUGACUGACUGAUCUAGUAAGUCCAAACAGAAGAAAACACACUCGGCACGUUUGUGACAUGAACGUUCAAUGUCAUGACUCCACUUUAAUAAAAACUUGUUCUCCAGGCUCUUAGCUAUCACCCCA